CCUACGGGGGGCUGCAGUAGGGAAUUUUGCGCAAUGGGCGAAAGCCUGACGCAGCAACACCGCGUGAGGGAUGAAGUUCUUUGGAGCGUAAACCUCUGUCAGUGGGGACGAAUUUUGACGGUACCCACAAAGGAAGCAUCGGCUAACUACGUGCCAGCAGCCGCGGUAAGACGUAGGAUGCGAGCGUUGUCCGGAAUCAUUGGGCGUAAAGAGUUCGUAGGCGGCAUGUCAAGUCUGGUGUUAAAGCCCGGGGCUCAACCCCGGUUUCGCACCGGAUACUGGCAAGCUAGAGUGCAGAAGAGGCAAGGGGAAUUCCCAGUGUAGCGGUGAAAUGCGUAGAUAUUGGGAGGAACACCGGUGGCGUAAGCGCCUUGCUGGGCUGUUACUGACGCUGAGGAACGAAAGCCAGGGGAGCGAAUGGGCUUAGAUACCCGAGUAGUC
rnacentral:rRNA from 1 species